rnacentral:rRNA from 1 species
GUUGCGACCCCAGGUCAGGCGGGACUCUCCCCCCCUCGAGUUAUA